UGACAUCCCAAGAUGGUAUUAUAAAGUUGCAUCAUUAGUCCAUUCUUUUGUUGUAUCAUAUUCAGUUUUUUUCCAACUACCAGCACUAUCAUCUGUAUCUUACUAAAUUCAUUACUUGAAUUUAGGUGGUCUUAUGUGUAUUGGAUGAUAGGUUGUAGUGACUUAUACAUUUAGUUGUAUAAAUCAUGUGUAUUGGGCUGCUCCCCUUUUACUCGUGUAAAAGACAUUAAUUGUUAAAAGAAUGUGAUGGUUGGAGUUUUUAAUAAUUUAAAUUCAGUUAAGUUCGUUGGGUUUCUAAAAUGCAAGGCUUUUGUAUCUUGGAAACAUUCUGAAUAUCAAAAGGAACAGUGGUAGUUGAGAACAAAUUUUCAGCAUUGCAAGUCAAA